AAUCGGAGAGUUCCCUUCGGGGACAUUGGUGACAGGUGGUGCAUGGUUGUCGUCAGCUCGUGUCGUGAGAUGUUGGGUUAAGUCCCGCAACGAGCGCAACCCUUGUCUUUAGUUGCCAUCAUUAAGUUGGGCACUCUAGAGAGACUGCCAGGGAUAACCUGGAGGAAGGUGGGGAUGACGUCAAAUCAUCAUGCCCCUUAUGCUUAGGGCUACACACGUGCUACAAUG
rnacentral:rRNA from 1 species